AAUAAAUCAAUAAUUUUUAUUGAUAAAUAUAGAUUAUAGAUAAUAAAUAAAUAAAUUUAUUUUGGUUUACUCGAAAACCUUGUUUAUUUUCUCUUUAUUAAUGCACACCGAGACUUGAAAAAGGAGAAUAAUCAGAUACAGGCUUUUCUCACUCCUCCCUCUCCGUCACACCAUCACUUACCUCCGUUAAUCGAAUCACAAUGGAAACUCACGAAAACGACAGCGUCGUCAUCGAGGCGGAGCCUUCCACUUCCCACGCUCCCGACGGCGAAGAUCCCCUCCGUCAGAGCUCCGAAGUGUUGGCGAGAGGCUUGUCUUCCAUGCUCUCUUCCGUGAUUACUGAUUUCGAUUGCAGAGCUAACCAAACUCUCCGAAGCCAGGACCACCUCUCUUCCGUCCUCGAUCGUCUCACUGGAGAACUUGAUCAGUUGCUUGAAGAUGCACCUUUGCCAUUCAUAAUGCAGCAUGCUGCCAAGAUUUCCAGUGUUAGGAAAAGAGUUUCAUCCCUGAAUUCACUUCUAAAGUCCAUACAAGGGCGGAUUGAUAAUAUAGAUCGCAUGAUAUCUUUUGGUACUGCUCAUGGCUUUAAGAGGAACUGUUGAAUCCACAUACACUUGCCAUGAGAGAACUGGAAUCAAUCACUCUAGCUGGCAUUUUCCAGAUCAAUCAUGGAGUCAUUGUGAUAGUUAUCUUAUCGAGCAGACCACAAGCAUCACGGCUGUUCUGGCCUGAUAAGGAAAGUGAGAAAAACAACCAAUGAAGUUCUUGGUUAAAUGUCGUCAGAAUAAGCAGCUUCCAUUCUUCCCUCAUGUACUUAAUAUGUAAUGUAUCCUUGAAUUGAAUUCUUAUUGUCAAGCACAUACCAGCUUAGUGCCAGUUAAGGAGUAAGGAUUUUAGAAUAGGAAUCCAGUAACAAGCUGUAUUUGGGUUACUUUUGACACUUCGUGUUCAAAGUCUCUAGUAAAAAUUCAUUUCAUUCAUUAAGGAAUUCUUAUUUUAAACUGAAAACCUGUCUUAAAUGAUAAAUUUUAUAUUAACAAAUAUAAGAAUUGGAAUAUUCUAUUACCUUCGAUAGUAUUUACAAGUAGUCAUUUUAUUUCAAUUUUAUGCUUGUCUAUACCUAUCCCAUUCCCUGCUUUUAGGAAAUGGGGGAAAAUGAAGAAAGCAGGAAGCCAUAGCAUGGUGGGGCUACUUAACAGGUUCCUCAUCUAAAUUAGCAUACGUUGUUUCUUGGUAAUAAAUCGGGCCGUUUGAUUCAUUGAACGUGUGAGACAGAGUCUGCAAAUGCAACCCAAUUCCAUCGAACUAUUGGCACCUUCUAGACCAUCUAGAUGCCUAGAAGGUGAUAUAUAGUUGUAAUAUUUUCAAGACGUGCAUUGUUUAUAUAUAAAUACUGAAGAUUGGAACGAUAUGGUGACACAUGCAAAAUUUGCCUAGCAUUACCAGAUCUUAUUUCCCGAAGCAAGUGGCCAGAAUCAUGCCUUUGUUUGCUGUUGUCGUUUUGCUGCACCACUGAGUGAAGUAGAAAAGGAAAGAAAGGAAAUAACAUAACAUCUCAGCUCCAACCAAAGGUUCUUCUGAUUGAGUCCAGCUCAUGAAGAUACUGUGAUGUAACUCCAGUAGUUCACAUGCCCCCACACUGUAGUACGGACUUCACAGGUGGUGGUAGCAUUAUUCUAUUUCUAAAACAUCCAUCCUCUCACCUGCUCUUCAAUCUUACAAGGGGGACCUGCAAUGUUGAUGAAGAUGAGGACAGAGAUAUGUUCCCAAGUCAGUCAUCUCUUCCUUCAAAUUUCUUUCAUGUCAAAAAGUAGAAGGACUAAUACUAAUAAUUGAAAUGAAGUGAUGAAUGGAGUGAUUAAUUUAAUCAUAUGUUCCUUCUUUUUUAACUGUUUUAUCUUUCACUAUACAGAAAUUAUUUGUUAUUUGUGUCUGCCCUUCUCAUCUUUAGAUUCUCAUCCUUUUUAGCCGUUAGCAUUUUAGCAACAGCACCCUCCUUUUCUCAUCCCUUUUGUGCACUGACCCAGUGACCCACUCCCUAUGCAAGAGAGAGGGGAGGGACGGGGGAGGGGGUUGGGGUUGGCAGUGAUGCAUAUGAUAGGGUAAAAGGGAUUGGAUGAGGGGGAAUCUGUGCAGAGACCCAACUGUACAUAAGCACGUUCUCUCUUUGAUGCCCCAAAACUCUCCCAUCAGCCUUUUGCAGGCUCCCUUAUUAUUCAACAAACAUAUUGUUUUCUUUAUGAGACACAGAAAAUCAGAGGAAGGAGAUCAUGCUUUAAAUACACUCCCUCCCUCCUAUUAAAUAAUACUACUAGGUCUACUAGUAUUUAAUUAAUGUAUUUAAUGGUAGGGCUUUCAUUAAUUAACCUGAGGUUGCUUUUCAGCUGAUUUAGCUCGCAAGAUAGAGAUGAUUGCACCUAUCCAUCCUCAUCUCCAUAUAAAGCAAAAGAGAGAAAGUAAUGACAAAGUUGAGCUCAGUAACCAAAACAACCAAACUAUUAUAAGUCACGUCAUACAAUCCUGACCUCGCUGGCUGGCUUGCUGGCUUUCGUAAUGAAAUUAA